rnacentral:rRNA from 1 species
CAUCUGCAGUCGAGCGGAUUGAUGGGAGCUUGCUCCCUGAUAUCAGCGGCGGACGGGUGAGUAACACGUGGGUAACCUGCCUGUAAGACUGGGAUAACUCCGGGAAACCGGGGCUAAUACCGGAUAACUCAUUUCCUCGCAUGAGGAAAUGUUGAAAGAUGGCUUCUUGCUAUCACUUACAGAUGGACCCGCGGCGCAUUAGCUAGUUGGUGAGGUAACGGCUCACCAAGGCAACGAUGCGUAGCCGACCUGAGAGGGUGAUCGGCCAAACUGGGACUGAGACACGGCCCAAACUCCUACGGGAGGCAGCAGUAGGGAAUCUUCCGCAAUGGACGAAAGUCUGACGGAGCAACGCCGCGUGAGUGAUGAAGGUUUUCGGAUCGUAAAACUCUGUUGUUAGGGAAAAACAAGUACCGUUCGAAUAGGGCGGUACCUUGACGGUACCUAACCAGAAAGCCACGGCUAACUACGUGCCAGCAGCCGCGGUAAUACGUAGGUGGCAAGCGUUGUCCGGAAUUAUUGGGCGUAAAGCGCGCGCAGGUGGUUUCUUAAGUCUGAUGUGAAAGCCCACGGCUCAACCGUGGAGGGUCAUUGGAAACUGGGGAACUUGAGUGCAGAAGAGGAAAGUGGAAUUCCAAGUGUAGCGGUGAAAUGCGUAGAUAUUUGAAGGAACACCAGUGGCGAAGGCGACUUUCUGGUCUGUAACUGACACUGAGGCGCGAAAGCGUGGGGAGCAAACAGGAUUAGAUACCCUGGUAGUCCACGCCGUAAACGAUGAGUGCUAAGUGUUAGGGGGUUUCCGCCCCUUAGUGCUGCAGCUAACGCAUUAAGCACUCCGCCUGGGGGAGUACGGUCGCAAGACUGAAACUCAAAGGAAUUGACGGGGGCCCGCACAAGCGGGGGAGCAUGUGGUUUAAUUCGAAGCAACGCGAAAAACCUUACCAGGUCUUGGACAUCCUCUGACAACCCUAGAGGAUAGGGCUUUCCCUUUCGGGGGACAGAGUUGACAGUG